UAAAAGGACAAGCAGCGGGCUGAGGCUGGGGCUGGGGCUCAGUGGUAAAGCACUUGCCUAGCACAUGUGAGUCACCGGGUUUGAUCCUCAGCUCCACAUGAAAAUAAAAUAGAGGUUAUUGUGUCCACCUACAACUAAAAAAAGCAAAAACCAAAUAUUUAAAAAACAACAAAAAGGUCAAGCUGCCUCUAAAACUGAGGGUGUCUAUGUACCACGUGGCUAUGGUUACAUUGAACAUGUAGAAGGAAACAACGGAGGGUAACACAGGUUUCAGGAGCAGGUAAAAUUGUGCAGGAAAAUAUGCCAGGGGAGAGAGGAUGGGAGGUUAAACAGAGGGCUGAAAAAUAUAUUCUGAAAAACAGAAACUGAAAAAAUACACUGAUGGUGACUAUGGGCCACAUAUCACAUUUAUGACAUAAUAGAAUGUUUGUAUGUAGAAGGAAAUCAAAAGCUAACAAACAUAACAUGACCUACUGAACUGAAUUUUGGUGACAGCUUUAAAGGUGUUGAUAUUAGCUUUUUCUAAUUGUACUUAUUAGUAGGAUUCAUUGUAACAUCAUGUACAUAAGAUGAUUUGUUCCAGAUAAUUCCCCAGUACUUCCUCUUUUUGUUCUCCCUCCCCCUUCCAACUUUCUCUACUGUUUUGUCUCCUAUUUUAAUAUAUGAUUAUAUUGUAAUCAUACAUAAAAGUGGUAUUCAUUGUGGUAUAUUCAUACAUGCAUAUGGCAUAAUUUGGUUCAUUUUUCUUGUACUAUUCUGUUGUGUUCCUUGACCAAACACUCGGGGUCACUCCAGGUGAACUGGGCUGCAUGAAAUCACCACACAGAGACAGAGAAAUACCUUUUUCUUUGGCUCCUCUGAACUUAGGGGUCCUGGGGGGGGGGGGAGAGAGAG
rnacentral:lncRNA from 1 species